rnacentral:rRNA from 1 species
CGGAGGAUCCAAGCGUUAUCCGGAAUCAUUGGGUUUAAAGGGUCCGUAGGCGGGUUUAUAAGUCAGUGGUGAAAGCCCAUCGCUCAACGAUGGAACGGCCAUUGAUACUGUAGAUCUUGAAUUAUUAGGAAGUAACUAGAAGAUGUAGUGUAGCGGUGAAAUGCUUAGAGAUUACAUGGAAUACCAAUUGCGAAGGCAGGUUACUACUAAUGGAUUGACGCUGAUGGACGAAAGCGUGGGUAGCGAACAGGAUUAGAUACCCUGGUAGUCCACGCCGUAAACGAUGGAUACUAGCUGUUCGGAGCAAUCUGAGUGGCUAAGCGAAAGUGAUAAGUAUCCCACUGGGGAUACGUUCGCAAGAAUG